rnacentral:rRNA from 1 species
CAGCAGCCACGGGAACACGGAGGGUGCAAGCGUUAAUCGGAAUUACUGGGCGUAAAGCGCACGCAGGCGGUCUGUCAAGUCAGAUGUGAAAUCCCCGGGCUUAACCUGGGAACUGCAUUUGAAACUGGCAGGCUAGAGUCUUGUAGAGGGGGGUAGAAUUCCAGGUGUAGCGGUGAAAUGCGUAGAGAUCUGGAGGAAUACCGGUGGCGAAGGCGGCCCCCUGGACAAAGACUGACGCUCAGGUGCGAAAGCGUGGGGAGCAAACAGGAUUAGAUACCUCCGUAGUCCCUGUCUCUUAUAC